rnacentral:rRNA from 1 species
CCAAUAGCGUAUAUUAAAGUUGUUGCAGUUAAAAAGCUCGUAGUUGAAUUUCGGGGUUUAUCCGUUGGUCGGGCUUUUGGGUCUGUACUGGCGUGAUGGAUUCCUACCUUCUGAAUAACCAGCAUGCCAUUAAUUUGGUGCGUUGGGGAAGCAGGACUGUUACCUUGAAAAAAUUAGAGUGCUUAAAGCAGGCUAUUGCCUGAAUACAUUAGCAUGGAAUAAUGAAAUAGGACGCAUGGUUCUAUUUUGUUGGUUUCUAGGAUCACCGUAAUGAUUAAUAGGGAUAGUUGGGGGCAUUAGUAUUCAAUUGUCAGAGGUGAAAUUCUUGGAUUUAUUGAAGACUAACUUCUGCGAAAGCAUUUGCCAAGGAUGUUUUCAUUAAUCAAGAACGAAAGUUAGGGGAUCGAAGACGAUCAGAUACCGUCGUAGUCUUAACCAUAAACUAUGCCGACUAGGGAUCGGACGAUGUUAAUUUUUUAAUGACUCGUUCGGCGCCUUACG